UUCCGUGGCCAUAGCCAUUUUGUAGUCGGGGGACUACAACUUCCAGAAGAUCAAGGGGACCAUUCUAAGGUGCCCCGGGAAUAGGCGGCUCUCCCCGGGGCCGCGCGUCCUGGGGCACUGGUAUCCAGCAGCCCGGCUGCAGGUAGACGCAAGGGCAGCGGCAGGGGCUGGCGUGUGGCGGCUGUGGGGCGAAUCGGGCUUUGGGGGAAGAGGAAGAAAAGUCGGAUUACAAGAUCAACCACCACCAACAACAAUAAAAACCACCAGGAUAUUUUUUUGCAAAUUUCUGACGGCUUUAAAUUCAUGAAGCAAUUGUCCCCUUUUGCAAUCAGCAUUUGGAUCUCAGAAUGAGCAAGGAAAGACCCAAGAGGAAUAUCAUUCAGAAGAAAUACGAGGUAACCUCUGAUACCUGCCUCCCUCCUGACCCCCCAAGGUCUCAGGUUUGCAGAAGGAGGGCUACUGCACGGAUGCUCAUUCUGCGAAGCGGCGGUCGGGUGCAGACAUGA
rnacentral:lncRNA from 1 species